GCUGUGAACUCGAAGAGUAGGGCGGGACACGUGGUAUCCUGUCUGAAUAUGGGGGGACCAUCCUCCAAGGCUAAAUACUCCUGACUGACCGAUAGUGAACCAGUACCGUGAGGGAAAGGCGAAAAGAACCCCGGCGAGGGGAGUGAAAAAGAACCUGAAACCGUGUACGUACAAGCAGUGGGAGCACCUUCGGGUGUGACUGCGUACCUUUUGUAUAAUGGGUCAGCGACUUAUAUUCUGUAGCAAGGUUAACCGUAUAGGGGAGCCGCAGGGAAACCGAGUCUUAACUGGGCGUUAAGUUGCAGGGUAUAGACCCGAAACCCGGUGAUCUAGCCAUGGGCAGGUUGAAGGUUGGGUAACACUAACUGGAGGACCGAACCGACUAAUGUUGAAAAAUUAGCGGAUGACUUGUGGCUGGGGGUGAAAGGCCAAUCAAACCGGGAGAUAGCUGGUUCUCCCCGAAAGCUAUUUAGGUAGCGCCUCGUGAACUCAUCUUCGGGGGUAGAGCACUGUUUCGGCUAGGGGGUCAUCCCGACUUACCAACCCGAUGCAAACUACGAAUACCGAAGAAUGUUAUCACGGGAGACACACGGCGGGUGCUAACGUCCGUCGUGAAGAGGGAAACAACCCAGACCGCCAGCUAAGGUCCCAAAGUCAUGGUUAAGUGGGAAACGAUGUGGGAAGGCACAGACAGCCAGGAUGUUGGCUUAGAAGCAGCCAUCAUUUAAAGAAAGCGUAAUAGCUCACUGGUCGAGUCGGCCUGCGCGGAAGAUGUAACGGGGCUAAACCAUGCACCGAAGCUGCGGCAGCGAC
rnacentral:rRNA from 1 species